AACAAAGUAAAAACAAAGGAAGAAAAAGGAAGAACAAAACCCUAGGUAGAAAAAUUAAGGGAAAAGUGUGAAAAUUCAAGGAAACAAGUGACAAAAGGUAAGAUUUUUCAAUUCUAGCUUGUGAUCUACAUUUUCUAUGCAUUAUUUUGCAUUUUCCGUGGUUGAAUCACAAGAUAUCAUGAAGGAUUCAUGGCUGACCGAAUUUAGAGAGAGAAGAUUUGAUGAUUGAUUUGGUUAGAUUUUGAGAUAUUUUAGUGUUUUUAGUUAUUUAGUGUUGUGUAGCAUGAAAAGCCAACAAGAAAAAUUCAUUUUCUCCCAUCACCCAUCAUUGGUCGAAUUCUGCAUGUAGAAUAUUGAUGAUGAUUUUGAUUUUAUUUCAAGUGAUUUGGUUAGGAAUUAGUGAUUUAUGGUGUGAGAAUCAAGCUUGAAAAAUUAUAAUGUUGAUGCACCCACCAUGGCCAAAUUUUCCAAGAGAAAAUGUGAGGAUGAUUUUGCCAUAUUUCAAGUUAUUUAAUUUUUGUUUGAUGAUUUGGAGUAUUGGGAGAAAAAUGAAAUUAUUUGGAGUUGAAUUGGACGUAUUGGCCAAUUAAUCGAGUGAUAGAUCGAAUUAGGCCAAUAUCGUUUAAUUUAGGUACACAAAUGAAUUUGUGUAGAACACCGUGUUUAGACGAUAAUCCGAACAAUUUGCAUUCCAUUUCAUGCAUUAGUAAAGAGCCUGAAAUAGAUUUAUAAUGGUAUGACACAGUAUAUUGAAUUAUGUGUCGUGUAUUAUAUAUAGGUGGUGAGCCCUCUAACAAGGGUAAAGACGUUGUGUCAGAGGACUGAGAAUAGGAGUAUUUCAAACUCCUGAUACUGUGAGUAACCUUACUAUUGUCUUAAUUAUCUAAAGUAGUUUUCAAUCGUUUUUGUGAUUUUAUGGAAAAUGAGUUUAAAUGGUAAAUCUUUAUGUUUUAUAAGCAAAAUGUGAUUAAAUGAAAAUGAUUUUAUAAAAUUGUCUUGAAAUUGAAAGAUGGUUUUGAAAAUGGAGUAAUU
rnacentral:lncRNA from 1 species